UACGGAGGGUGCAAGCGUUAUCCGGAUUCACUGGGUUUAAAGGGUGCGUAGGUGGGCUUGUAAGUCAGUGGUGAAAUCCCCGAGCUUAACUCGGGAACUGCCAUUGAUACUAUAAGUCUUGAAUAUUGUGGAGGUCAGCGGAAUAUGUCAUGUAGCGGUGAAAUGCUUAGAUAUGACAUAGAACACCAAUUGCGAAGGCAGCUGGCUACGCAUAUAUUGACACUGAGGCACGAAAGCGUGGGGAUCAAAACAGG
rnacentral:rRNA from 1 species